AUACGGAGGGUGCAAGCGUUAAUCGGAAUUACUGGGCGUAAAGCGUACGUAGGCGGUUCGUUAAGUUAGAUGUGAAAGCCCCGGGCUUAACCUGGGAACUGCAUUUAAAACUGGCGGACUAGAGUUGAGUAGAGGGGAGUGGAAUUUCAGGUGUAGCGGUGAAAUGCGUAGAGACCUGAAGGAACACCAGUGGCGAAGGCGACUCCCUGGACUCGAACUGACGCUGAGGUACGAAAGCGUGGGUAGCAAACGGGAUUAGAAACCCUAGUAGUCC
rnacentral:rRNA from 1 species